rnacentral:rRNA from 1 species
AUGGUGUUGCUUGACAUCAGGGGCAUGCUACAGUUCAUGGGAAAAGACAUAUCGUUGUUCCCUCUUUCGGAAAUCUACGAGACCUAUGACACUACUGAAGGUGAGGCCAGAGAAGUCACCGAGGAGUCCACAAUCAAGGUUGAUGCGAACGAUGCUGCUUUAGCAUCCUCGCUAAACCCUGAGCAGAGGCUUGCAUACAACGAGAUAAUGGAAACAGUCGAUGCCGAUGAUGGGGGUGUAUCCUUUGUCGAUGGCCCGAGAGGCACCAGGAAGACCUUCCUAUACAAGGCACUACUUGCAAAGGUUCUAGGCGAGGGCAAGAUUGCGGUGGCUACGGCGACGUCUGGCGUCGCAACUUCCAUCAUGCCUGGAGGAAGGACAGCCCACUCGAGGUUCAAGAUCCCACUCAGCAUUGAAGAUGGGGGGUCGUGCAGCUUCACCAAGCAAAGUGGGAAGACAAAGCUCCUACACAUGGCUUCGCUCAUCCUGUGGGAUGAGGCCACCAUGAUGAAGCGGCAAGCGGUUGAGGCACUAGACAACAGCAUGCGGGACAUCAUGGGACGAUAG